CCAUCCGAGGAGCGUUGCAGCACCCAUGCGGUGUGAGGCUCGGAACCUACAGCAACGACGCUCACCCACU
rnacentral:ncRNA from 2 species